rnacentral:lncRNA from 1 species
UCCGUCUCCUGAGUAUCUGGGAUUUCAGAUGUGCACCACUGUGCUUGGCUCAUUAGCUGGUUUCAAAGGGUCCCAGAGGGACAUCUGAACUGGCCCCCAUUCUGUCUGGUGGUACUAAAUGUGACUCACCUGGCCCAUCAGAUCACAGUUGACCGCUUCAAUAGGAAGGU